rnacentral:misc_RNA from 1 species
GAAAUGCGAUAAGUAAUGCGAAUUGCAGAAUUCAGUGAAUCAUCGAAUCUUUGAACGCACAUUGCGCCCGCUAGUAUUCUGGCGGGCAUGCCUGUCUGAGCGUCAUUUCAACCCUCAUUCCCGGCUUCGUGUCGGGGAUGGUGUUGGGGAUCGGCCUCCCGGUUGCGGGCGGCCGGCCCCGAAAUAGAGUGGCGACCACGCCGUAGCCUCCUCCGCGUAGUAGUGAAAACCUCGCAGGCGGAGAGCGGUGCGGCCUGCCGUAAAACCCCCAACUCUUCUAAGGUUGACCUCAGAUCAGGUAGGAAUACCCGCUGAACUUAAGC